CCACCUCUACAGAGCCUUUCUCUUUUCUCAACUCACAUCCAGUUGGCAUUCUCUCUCUUCAACUACUGCACUCUCUCUUUUCCCUCCUACAGAUAAUCUCUCUCUAUCUCUUCCUCUCUCUCUCCUCUCCUCUCUCUCUUCCUCUCUUAAGAUGGGCCCAUCUCUCUUUCCAGCUGGCCUGCUUUUUCUCUUUCUCCUCCUUUCCCUUUCUCUCUCUCUCUCUCUCUCUCUCUCUCUCUCUCUCUCCUCCUCUCCUCUCUAUAUCUUAGCCUCCCCUCUCUCUUCUCUCUUCUCACAGGGUGCCUGGGCAGCAACAGCAGUGGCAAUGGCUUGGGCGGCAACAACGGCGGCUGCGGCGGCAGUUUGAGCGGCAUCAACGGCGGUCGCCUCGCCUCGACCUCAUCUCGCCAUCAAAGGAUCUUAGAGCUUUUUAAAAUUACUGAGACGUUGCGGAGGGUGUCGCCGCGGGUUCGGUAGCGGUGGCAGGUCUUGCAGAAAUAACACGACUGCGAGAGGGAGUAGUUGUCGGAGUAGCAGGACUUGGUGUUGGUCGAGUCGCAGCGCGGGCACUUGAGCGCCGGCUUCGGCUACGGAAUCUUCGUGAGACGGGCGCGGUCCGCCAUCGAGCCAGGCCAGGCAGGGCCGCCGGCCGAAGCUGCCAUACUUGGGGCCUCAGGGCGCGGCGCAGCCUGCGGACCCGGUGGGAGCGGAACUGAAGAAAAAACCAUAGUGUUUUUCUUUUCUUUUUUCCCCUUAGCUUCUUCCUCUUUCUGAUUAGAUUCUUUCACAGGGUUAUGGUGGAGAGAUGGUGGAGAAUCACAUCCAUAAGCAGUUCCUUUGCGAGAGAUAGAGAGAGAGAGGAAGGAGAGUGAAGAGAAAAGGAGGAUUCCUUCUUUUUUUAUUCUAUUUAAAAAAGCAGUUCUUUUUUUAUUCUAUUUAAAAGUUUUGUAAUUAAGUAGGAGCUCACCAUUAGGUAGAGGGC